AGAGCGAUGCUCCCUGAGUCAUUCAUCUUCCCAGUGUCGUGUUUGGGGGGUCACACUGCCUGCAGCUCCCUGGGUUCCAGCCAACUCUAGAAUAAUUAGCACCGUGUAGUCCUGGGAAGACCAGUCAGAGGAGACCCAGAGCGAUCCUCAGCCUCGGGCCAGCUGCUUGUCACCCGCCUCCUCCCCGAUCCCUGCAGCCGACAACAGCCAGAUGGCCUGGAGCCGGGAUUCCAAGGACAGGGGCCUUCCCUCCAAGGAGUGAAGACAUUGACAGGAGAACAGAUCACAGAUGUCCUGCCCCCGCCCACACUCGAUGACCAGCGGAGGCGCUAAUGACACUGCAGUCCUCUCCUUUCUUUGACUCCCACCACCCGUGGUGUCACAGGCAGUUCAUCAUCUGUGACCGAGGUGCCCCAUCUCCUCCGGUGCACAUGGCCCAGAGUGGGCCCUGACACUCCAAACGUACCUGGCAGGGGGGGACGAGUUUGUCCGACGCCAGGGCCGCUCUGCUCUCAGGCGCGGUGUCAGGUAGGAAGGCCCAGGCCGCACGCUCUCCCUGGCCUUGCCGACCUCUGCUGGUCUGUCCACACCGGGGCCUUGGCCCGGCCUGCUGGCUCCUGAGACACCUGCGGGGGCUGGCUGGGGUCUGCUCUGCUCUGUCGGUGUGGGGAAUGAACCGUGCGUGUUAUGGAGACUAGGCUUGGAGGAGGACGUGCUUGCAGCAGCAGCAUCAGACCACAGCUCAAGGGCCCUACCUCAGGCCUACUUCUGAGCCUCUUUGGGUGACAGCCCGAAAAUGAGCUGGAGGGGGGACUCUCUAAGCCGGGGAACAUCGCUGCAGAGGUCACCCAUGUGGCCAAGCUGUGAGGUUUCCGGAGACUUGGAGUUGCCGUUGGCCGUGGGCUCAAUAGCUCUAGGCCAACAGCUCCUGGGCGCUGGUCUGUUUUUGUCAAUAAAGUUUUAUUGGCACAUGGCCACGCCCACUGGCUCACACAUUCCGGCUUCCCGCUGCAAUGGCAGAGCUGAGGAGUUAGACAGAGGCCCCAAGCCCUGCAGGCCCCAAAUAUCCCCAAUGUCACAGCCACAGGAGGGGUCCCCGUAGGGAGUGCCCCGUAAGUGGGAGUUGGUUUGCCUUCAGGUCCUGGUACUCACACUAGCCUCACAGAGGCCUGGGGUUACCACUUCUAAGGGGCCCAUGGGGACUUCCAGCUCCGGCCAGGGCCCUGGCCCCGGCGCCUCCUCUGUAAGCCCCCCUGCCUCUUACUGGCGGCCAUGCCACCUGUGCACGCUGGCACUCCCAGCCAUGGACAAGCUGCCUGGCAGAGGCGUUAAGUGCUAACGAAGGUGUUAGCUGGAAAUGAAGGUGAUUGCGGAUAAUGGAAGUGUUAGCUGACAAGAGCGCUAAUGAGAGUUGAGGGAGUGAGCCGUCUCCACACAUUAACCUUUCAAAGUGGGGUGGAAAGUCAGGAGCCCAGAGAUGAGGGGC